rnacentral:rRNA from 1 species
UUUGAUCAUGGCUCAGGAUGAACGCUAGCGGCAGGCUUAAUACAUGCAAGUCGAGGGGCAGCACGAAUAGCAAUAUUUGGUGGCGACCGGCAAACGGGUGCGGAACACGUACGCAACCUUCCCAUAACUGGUGAAUAGCCUUCCGAAAGGGAGAUUAAUACACCGUAACAUAGAGGAGUGGCAUCACUCUUUUAUUAUAGCUUCGGCGGUUUUGGAUGGGCGUGCGGCUGAUUAGGUAGUUGGCGGGGUAACGGCCCACCAAGCCUCCGAUCAGUAACUGGUGUGAGAGCACGACCAGUCACACGGGCACUGAGACACGGGCCCGACUCCUACGGGAGGCAGCAGUAAGGAAUAUUGGUCAAUGGACGCAAGUCUGAACCAGCCAUGCCGCGUGAAGGAUGAAGGCCCUCUGGGUUGUAAACUUCUUUUAUCUGGGACGAAAAACGGACUUUCUAGUUCACUUGACGGUACCAGAGGAAUAAGCACCGGCUAACUCCGUGCCAGCAGCCGCGGUAAUACGGAGGGUGCAAGCGUUAUCCGGAUUUACUGGGUUUAAAGGGUGCGUAGGUGGGUAGGUAAGUCAGUGGUGAAAUCUUCAAGCUUAACUUGGAAACUGCCAUUGAUACUAUUUAUCUUGAAUACUUUGGAGGUAAGCGGAAUAUGUCAUGUAGCGGUGAAAUGCUUAGAUAUGACAUAGAACACCAAUUGCGAAGGCAGCUUACUACACAGUUAUUGACACUGAGGCACGAAAGCGUGGGGAUCAAACAGGAUUAGAUACCCUGGUAGUCCACGCCCUAAACGAUGGAUACUCGACAUUAGCGAUACACAGUUAGUGUCUGAGCGAAAGCAUUAAGUAUCCCACCUGGGAAGUACGACC